rnacentral:rRNA from 1 species
AGCAGCUCACUGGGCUUAAAGCGUGCGCAGGCGGUUUUGUAAGACAGAGGUGAAAUCCCCGGGCUCAACCUGGGAACUGCCUUUGUGACUGCAAGGCUGGAGUGCGGCAGAGGGGGAUGGAAUUCCGCGUGUAGCAGUGAAAUGCGUAGAUAUGCGGAGGAACACCGAUGGCGAAGGCAAUCCCCUGGGCCUGCACUGACGCUCAUGCACGAAAGCGUGGGGAGCAAACA